AUACAGGCCCCCUUCCCUUUGUUACUUUUCCUCUCUCCCCAUCGCUCCCUCUCUCUCUCCCCGCUACUCUCGUCAACAACAACGAUGGCGGCGGGGACAGCAAAAUCGACGACGGCAGUGGAAACGAACAACUCGAUGACGGCACCAAAAUCUUUUGGGUUUUCCGGUUUCGGGACAGAUCUGUGAGGUUAGGAGUGGGCAAGACAAAAAAAUCUGAUUUGCUUGAGUUGAAGACUUUGUAUGACUUACCAGUUCUCUAACAAAGGCGACGCGAGGAGGAGCGGGAGGAGGAGAAG